AUGAGUUUCUUGCUUCUCUCAAGAGCAAGUGGUGCGGAUGGGACUCUCUCCCGCCCAGUUUCCUGCCUCUGGUCAAAGGGCAGGUGGCGAGCCUGAGU
rnacentral:ncRNA from 1 species